rnacentral:rRNA from 1 species
GAUGAACGCUGGCGGCGUGCCUAAUACAUGCAAGUCGAACGAAGAUCUAGCUUGCUAGAUCUUAGUGGCGAACGGGUGAGUAAUACAUAAAUAAUCUGCCCAUAUGACUGGGAUAACUAUUGGAAACGAUAGCUAAUACCGGAUAGGUUGAUCGGAGGCAUCUCUGAUGAAUUACAGUAGGAUUUCUACACAAAUGGAUGAGGUUAUGGCGCAUUAGUUAGUUGGUGGGGUAACGGCCUACCAAGACGAUGAGUCGUAGCCGACCUGAGAGAGUGACCGGCCACACUGGGACUGAGACACGGCCCAGACUCCUACGGGAGGCAGCAGUAGGGAACUUUCGGCAAUGGGCGCAAGCCUGACCGAGCAACGCCGCGUGAGUGAUUAAGGCCUUCGGGUUGUAAAGCUCUGUUGUAAGGGAAGAACAUUCAGGAUAGGAAAUGAUCUUGAACUGACGGUACCUUACCAGAAAGCCACGGCUAACUACGUGCCAGCCGCCGCAGUAAGAC